UUAUUUUCUAUACAUGACAUCGUUCAACUAUAGUUGCUUCUUUAUAUAUGUAUAUAAUUUUCAGAGUUGGCUGAAAAACGCUUAAUAUAUUUAUCAAAGUACGUUCUGAAUUAAUGAGUUUUAAAUUCAUCGUUGCUGGUUGUUGAGUGACAUUAUAUUUAUCAAGCGUCCCGUCUCGUCCCGGUCUUCCCGUAAUAAACCCCUCCUUCGGACGGGAAGAAUAAACAAAGGAGGGUCAUUAAAAUGGCUAUUUCGGAUCGUCUGCUAGCGCGACUAACUAACUGACUAGAUAUCCAUUGGUACUUGUAGAGAGAGGACCUUGGAGGUGGAGGUGAACGUUUAACGAGCGUUAAAUAGCGGCCCCUUCACUAGCACCAGGGUAGCAAGUACCAGGCACUGUUGAGCUCCUCUCCCUCCAACGCGAUGAACCCACACCCACACGGUGAAUCCAUGGAAGAGUGAGAAAUUUCGUCUCAUGCACAAUCUGACAAUUUUCAGAAGAAGAAAUAACAAAACCUGGAUUUUGAAAAGUUAUGGUGUUAUUAAUAAUGUAUUUCCAACGUUUCGGCUGAUUAUUUUGAUAUAGGCACUCAAGUAUUUCAAAACGACGAAUUUUUUGCACAUUGUAAUAAUGACCGCAAGUUUGUGUCAUAUCAAUAAUUUCAGAAUAUUGAAUGAGAGAUCAUUUUAGAUUUAUUUUACGUGCCCGCAGAAAAUAUGCUGUAUUUUGUACUAUUUUAAACAUCUGUAGCCUAUCCCGUCACCAAUGAAAAGGUAUACAUUAUAAAACAUAUUUUUAUUAAAUAAUAAAAUACGCGUAGUAUAAACCGAAAAAUAUUAGUUUUAUUUAAAUGAAUACUCGCAAAAUUCUUAGAUCUCAUUACUAUAAAACAUUUUUUUACUUUUUAUCAUGCAAGAUUUGCAAUCCAAUAGGCCUCUAUGAGGCUUGAGGGAAUCCCCACAAACCAUCGUGGGCUCCUAUAAUACAAGUAGGACUAGCUUUAUACACUAGGUUAGGUUAAAUGACAAAUGUUGAGAAUGGUACAGAAGUGUCGUCGAAGUAAAAUAUUUAGCUUUAUAUAUCAAAAUAAUAAAUUUGCUUACAUUUAAAAAAAAAUAUGAAUUUUUAUUUCGCUCAAAGUCGUUAAGUUGAGCCGCGUACGACCUGGCACGGCUAAGAGAUCAAUGCAUGCCAUGUAUUUUUAAUUUUAUAACGCAGAACAAAAGUAACAGCGACAGAUGAGUGUGACCUAUCAACAACUCAUUAUUCACUUUAAAUACCGAUACAACGAAUUUCUCAAACGUCGACAUGAUUACUGACAUACUGUUAGCUCUUACCUCUUAGUAUGAAACUGUUUGUUACUCGAAAUAUGAAACAAGCACCAUUCACGUCUACUAAUGCUUCAGUUAUGACCAAGACACCUUCGCUUCUAGACUUCAUAAGCAUAUUAUGGAAAAUUAUGCUAUUUAAAGACAGACUUCAAGAAGCCCUGUUAGUGACUUUACAUCAGGGAUAAACAGUUAAUACUUUUAGACUUUAAGAACAGCAUCAGCGGACAAUCCCUUAUAAACUUACAAAUUGUAUUUAGUACAUACAUAAAAAGAAUU